GGCGAUGUGAGGAGACUGAAGCAUCUGAAAGUUUUCGUGUGGAUAACACAUCAAAUGGUCUUCAAAGUUCUCUGAUCGCU
rfam:Setaria italica strain Yugu1 chromosome III, whole genome shotgun sequence.